rnacentral:rRNA from 1 species
AACGUAGGUGGCGAGCGUUAUCCGGAAUUACUGGGCGUAAAGCGUGUGCAGGCGGGCUAGCAAGUGGUGUAUGAAAGCUCCCGGCUCAACCGGGAAGGGUUAUGCCAGACUGCUAGUCUUGAGUGCGAGAGAGGAGCGUGGAAUUCCGGGUGUAGUGGUGAAAUGCGUAGAUAUCAGGAGGAACACCGGCGGUGUAGACGGCUUUCUGGACCGUAGCUGACGCUGAGACACGAAAGCGUGGGUAGCAAACAGG